CUACAUAGACUACUGUAGGCUACACUACUCUUUUUUAAGUCAGCAUUUGUUCAGAACAAUUAGCUUUGAAUCAAGACAAAAUGUCGCUCUUAAAAAGUAUCAAAAGAAAGGUGGAUAAUGAAAAUCGAAGUUUCUGGGAAGAAUGUACAGAGAGAUGAAAAUGUCGCUGUUUGCAAAUAAUUAAAUCUCAGAGAUCAUUAUGAAUCUAAACAUGGAACUUUCAAAGUGGCCUUCCCGCCCGAGACAGGAGCACAGGCAGAAACAUUGAAGCAUUAACUACAAGCUAGACACCAGGCUUUUUUGGCUGACAUAUUCUGUCACUUAAACGGGUUAAAUGUGCAGUUAUAAGUAAGAGGGAAAACAGUCGUAGACAUGGUGGAAAAACUUGAGGGCUUUACUAGGAAGAUUGAGUUGUUCGAUUUGGACUUGUAAUGUGGAAGGCUACUGCACUUCAGCACAGUGAAUAAACGACAGGGAGAGUGACGAGGCUGCAGCAUUGUCACAGAUGUGAUUUCAAGAUUUCAUCAACCAGCUGAGGGUCAACUUCUCCACCAGAUUUGGCUGGGAUUUGAAGACUGCACCAUGCCCACGGAUAUCAUUGCGUUUUUACGUGAUCCUUUCACAGUCCGCACAGGUGAAGAAUUCUCCUCCCUUGCUAAGAAAACGAUACCCUCGCUGGACGAGGCUGCAAUUCCAGACAUCAAGCCACAUCAGGGAUGUGCUCAGGAGUGCGGAGGCCUUGUAGCGUUCUGGGUCGCAUGCUCAGAGAAAUACAGCACAAUAAAGAAACUUGCAUUUUAUUUGCUAACAAUUUUUUGAUCGACUUAUACCUGCGAGUCCUCAUUUUCCUCUAUGAACGCAAUAUAGAUUCACGACAGGAAUAAUAUUUCAUAUAAGUAAAUCGAGGACUGCCUGCGCAUCAAAAUCACAUCCAUCUCCCAUUGAACAACGCUGAAGUGAGAGCAGAACAUGGACGUGGUUGUGCGCAAUAACCGCAGAGGACACCGGGAGUUUGCUGUCCAGGCCGAGCACUUGAAACUGCCGGAACUAGGACUGAGACUGAAAGCUCAGGACAUUCACAACAACUACCUCUUCAAAGACAACAUCCCAGAAUACCCAAGGCCAGAGUUCUGGGUUUCCCAGCUCAGACACGACACAGAUGAAUACGGGCUAUUUGGCAUAGCCGUCGAAAGCGAUGGGGGGUUCUGUGCUAGGGACCGAGAAGAGGGGCCAGAGGACCCAGAAGAGGGGCCAGAGGGUUUGGACCUGCUGUGGUGGAGCUUGUCUUUGGGAGCAGAAGAGAUGGCCUCGGCUGAACAACGUCUGCUCCAGACCAGGUACCCUGACAGGACAGAGGAGCAGGCCAGGGAGCAGAAAUCCUUCCUGCAGAGGUUCGCCACCUCACCUGCCUUCCUGGACACCUCUCGGCUGGGCUCCUACCGCUUCACCUUCCCCCUGGAGGAGCUGCUCAAGAGAUACCGGGAACAGCUAUGCGUUGGACACGAGCCAAUCCUGCGUGUUUAUGAGACAGUCCUGUACAAACAGGAGGUGAUGUACUCAGUGCUAGUCCACAGUCACUACAACAACGACCUCUUUGAGAAGUACCCUCUCCUCCAGGACAAUGAUGAUGGAGUCUGUGCUUACAGAGAUGGACAAAUCAUUUGGAGACCCGAGGCCAUGUGUCAGACACACAGCUUGAAAUUGGUGCCAAAGCCCUACCAGAACCAGGAUGUAGCCCACCUGAUCCCUGAUCCACAGAAACACCAGUUCUACGUUUGGGACAACAUUGCUGUAGCGUUCCACAUGGACGGUUCACAGAUGUUGACCUUCGAUAGGUACAAUUUGAGACACCAUCUGAGAUUCUGUGAGCCAGGAACGCCACAAUUUUCCCCCGACUGUGAGUUCACCACAUACGAGGAGGCUAAAGACAUGGUGGACUGCUAUUGGCCUUACUACCCCACCCCCCUCUACUGAUAAACUUACUACCACACCCCCCUGUUCUGCUAAACUUACUACCCCACCCCCCUCUACUGAUAAACUUACUUCCACACCCCCCUGUUCUGCUAAACUUACUACCCCACCCCCCUCUACUGAUAAACUUACUACCACACCCCCUGUUCUGCUAAACUUACUACCACACCCCUUGUUCUGAUUAACUUACUACUACACCCCCUGUUCUGCUAAACUUACUACCCCACCCCCCUCUACUGAUACACUUACUACCACACCCCCUGUUCUGCUAAACUUACUACCCCACCCCCUCUACUGAUAAACUUACUACCACACCCCCUGUUCUGCUAAACUUACUACCCCACCCCCUCUACUGAUAAACUUACUACCACACCCCCUGUUCUGCUAAAC
rnacentral:lncRNA from 1 species